UUGCUCCUAUUUUUAAGCCGUGGCCGCAGCGCUUGCGGCCCUCCAAGGAUAACAAGGCCAGGCUGUGCCCCGGGAACGCUGCCCCGCCGCGCUAAUUGAAACCAGCGUCCGACGAGGAGCUGAAAAUAGUGCACAGCUCCCAUAGAUCAGCUCCGGGAUAUGAGGGAGAUGCGGGCUGAGAACGGCCUGAGCUCAGUGCAUGAGUGGGAUGGGGCGGCUCCGGGUUCCCCCCUGAGCCCCUCCUGUGCCCCUCAGCCCCCGAGCGCAGCCGCUGUCAGGGUCACUCCGUCCCCGAUUUCUUGCCCCUGGGUUUGUGGUCCCCAAUCUGUGCUCCCCAAUCCUCAGCUGCUCACCCCCAGAAGCCGUUCCCUGGUCCCCAGCCCGCAGUUCCCCUUAUUUCCAGUUCCUCUUGUCCCCAGACCUCAGCCCUUAUCUCAUGUUCCCACUCCCUGGUCCCAAAUCCUCAACCCCACAUCCCCAAUUCCAUGUCCCCAAACCCCGUCCCAGUAUCUCAAGUCCCCAGUCCCUGCUCCCUUGUCCCUAAAUUCCAUUUCUGGCCCAUCGUUCUCAGUCCCUCACCCCUUGUCCCAUGUUUCCAAACCCAUUUCCAGGUCCCUGAUCCCCAGUCCUUUGCCCUCCAUCCCAUGUCCCCAAGCCCCAUUUCUUGUCCCCAGUCCCUUGUCCCCAUCCACAGUCCCAUGUCCCCAAGCCCCACUCAUGGCCCAUAAUCCAUGCCAGGCCCUUGCUCCCUUGUCCCCACUCCCAUGUCCUCAAAUCCCAUCCCAGAUCCUCGAUCCCAUGUCCCUAAACACGUUUCUGGGUCCCCACCUCCCAGUCCUCUGCCCCCAUCCCCAUUCCCUAUCCCCAAGGUGCCGCUGUCUGCAGCCCCAACCUCAGUUCCUGUCCCAGACCCAGCGCCCACCUUGUCCCCUGCCUCAGUUUCCCCAUCCCCACUCCUCCCUUCAAUCCACAGCCACCAAAUGUCACCAUCCGGGCCCUGGCUGUCCCUGCUCACAGGGUGCAUCUGGUCUUGGGGACAGCACGGGGCAGAGGUGGCGCUUGGUAUUGUCCCCUCCCUGGUGCCCUGCUGGGGUGGAGGACAGCCAGGUGGGCACAGGGACAGCAAGAGGGAGGAUGAGACCCUGCGUGGGGACAGGGACACGCAGUGGGGACGUGUGUGUGUGCGUGUGUGUCCCCAUCUCCUGGUCCCCAUGGCUCCCAGGGGCUGUGGUGGCCGCGCUGCGUCACCGCGGCUGUCCUGGUGGCCCCGUGCCAGGAGCAGACGUGGCCCUGUCACCAGGUCCAGGGUGGCACCGGCUUGGGGACAGACUUGUCCCCAUAGGCACAUCCUUGGGUGACGCUGCCCUGGGGACAGACGUGUCCCCAUCCCCAGAUGUGGGGCACGGAGCUCCUGGGGACAGCCGUGUCCCAGUGGCACUGCAUCCCCGUCCACCCCCUGCCAGCACCCAAAGCCACUGCACCCACUGUCCCCUGGGUGCCAUCCCUGCGGUCCCUGUGGCAGCAAGGAUGGGGACAGCAAUCUGGAAACAGCCCCAACUCCCCGUAUCCACCAAACCCCAGUGCUGCCUGUCCUGGGGGUCCCUGUCCUGGGAGGGUCCCACAUCUGAGGGUACUGAAUCACGUGGGGUCCCAUAUCCCAACAGUCCCACGUCCCAAGGGUCCCAUAUCCCAAAGGUCCUCUGUGCUGAGGUCCCAUAUCCUGGGAUUCCUGUAUCCUGGGAAUCUCAUAUCCCAGAGGUUCUGUAUCCCCCUGGGGGGAUUCCUGUAUCCUGAUGGUCCCCCUACCACGACGUCCCAUAUCCCAGUGAGGAGAGGGGGAUCUCCCCUGCCUUGGGGGUCCCUGUCCCCAGAUGUCCCCUCUCCAGCCCUAGAGAACCCCACAAUGCCGAGGCUGUGCCCAUAUCCCCACAGUGUCCUCGUGUCCCCGUAUCCCCAUGUUGUCCCCAUAUCCCCGUGGCAUUCCCAUGUCCCUAUGUCCCCACGGUGUCCCUGUGUCCCCAUAUCCCCAUUGUGUCUCCAUAUCCCCAUCGUAUCCCCACAUCCCCAUAUCCCCUUCGUGUCCCUAUUUCCCCACGGUGUCCCCAUGUCCCCAUAUCCCCAUUGUGUCCCCAUAUCCCCAUCGUGUCCCCAUUUCCCCACUGUGUCCCCGUGUCCCCAUAUCCCCAUCGUGUCCCCAUAUCCCCACCGUGUCCCCACGCCCCCAUAUCCCCAUCGUGUCCCCAUAUCCUCACCAUGUCCCUAUGUCCUCGUAUCCCCAUCACGUCCCCAUAUCCCCAUCGUGUCCCCACGUCCCCACUCUGUCCCCACAUCCUUACCGCUNNNNNNNNNNNNNNNN
ensembl:lncRNA